CAGGACGUCACGUCACUCGCCGAGACUGAGAGGAGACUGGAGAGGUGCUGCGGUAGUAGAUUUUAAGAGAUCCACAUGGCGGUCUUAUCCGGACGGAGAAGAAAAGGAAAGAGGACGCCGCUGAUCAGAAAAUAAGUAAUUAUGCCGGCCAAAAAUUUUUUAUUCUCCCUGGUACUUACCCAGCAACUGUGAUAAGUGGAGAGUGUGAAGGUGAAGAAAAAGGAACCGUCAUCUCUGUAUAAAUCCGCCAUACUACUUGUUUAUAUCACCGACUGGUAAGUUGACUAUUAACUCUGGGAUCAGGUAGGUAGAAUAUAAACUCCCAUCUGUGUGUUCUCAGGGGAGCAAAGACCAAAGUGUCUGUAGGGGGCAGAGGUAUCUGGCAGCAACUUAUUCCCCUGUCUCCACUUGGCAAAAAUCAAUGAACAUGUGAAUCAAGAAGAACAACACUAUAGCAGGCGUAUGGCCACCAGAAAGCUCAACAUAAUGGUACAACUAUGGUAGGCCCAUCUUAUUAUUAUAACAACUAUAAUACGGUCUCCGAUGUACAAAAAUAUA